GUGGAGUUUUUCGCUGCCUUGCUGCUGAUCAUAUCUGUUCAGCCCCGCUGGGGCGUCCUUGGCAGCGGUUCUGUGAAAACACUCUCUCAUAGAUGCCUUCCCUGUCAUGUUUCCUCAGCCAGCGGACCAGUGCAAACCUGCUGCCUCAAAACGACGGACACCAUCCUGCCCCUCAGCAAAAUAGCGGGAUACUACAGUCAGAAGGCCGGGCUUUGUCCAGUCGAUGCCGUAGUAUUCGUCACCGUUAAGAAUGUAAAAAUCUGCUCACCCCCCAAUAAACUUUGGGUGAAAAGGGCAGUGAAGUAUUUUGGCAGCAAGAAGACAAAGGACGGGAAGAAAGUAACGCCUCCCCAAUAGACGACACUGGAAACGCCCAGGAGUUGGACUUUUCAUUUAAUCCCGAGUCACCACUGUGCCCACAGACCUUUAGGGUUAAGCUAUUUAAUUUUUUUAUUUAACUUUUACAAAAGGAACGUAAUUGCUAUAUAGUACGCCAUGCA
rnacentral:lncRNA from 1 species